GACGAACGCUGGCGGCGUGCCUAAUACAUGCAAGUAGAACGCUGAAGAGAGGAGCUUGCUCUUCUUGGAUGAGUUGCGAACGGGUGAGUAACGCGUAGGUAACCUGCCUUGUAGCGGGGGAUAACUAUUGGAAACGAUAGCUAAUACCGCAUAACAAUGGAUGACACAUGUCAUUUAUUUGAAAGGGGCAAUUGCUCCACUACAAGAUGGACCUGCGUUGUAUUAGCUAGUAGGUGAGGUAACGGCUCACCUAGGCGACGAUACAUAGCCGACCUGAGAGGGUGAUCGGCCACACUGGGACUGAGACACGGCCCAGACUCCUACGGGAGGCAGCAGUAGGGAAUCUUCGGCAAUGGGGGCAACCCUGACCGAGCAACGCCGCGUGAGUGAAGAAGGUUUUCGGAUCGUAAAGCUCUGUUGUAAGUCAAGAACGAGUGUGAGAGUGGAAAGUUCACACUGUGACGGUAGCUUACCAGAAAGGGACGGCUAACUACGUGCCAGCAGCCGCGGUAAUACGUAGGUCCCGAGCGUUGUCCGGAUUUAUUGGGCGUAAAGCGAGCGCAGGCGGUUUGAUAAGUCUGAAGUUAAAGGCUGUGGCUCAACCAUAGUUCGCUUUGGAAACUGUCAAACUUGAGUGCAGAAGGGGAGAGUGGAAUUCCAUGUGUAGCGGUGAAAUGCGUAGAUAUAUGGAGGAACACCGGUGGCGAAAGCGGCUCUCUGGUCUGUAACUGACGCUGAGGCUCGAAAGCGUGGGGAGCGAACAGGAUUAGAUACCCUGGUAGCCCACGCCGUAAACGAUGAGUGCUAGGUGUUGGAUCCUUUCCGGGAUUCAGUGCCGCAGCUAACGCAUUAAGCACUCCGCCUGGGGAGUACGACCGCAAGGUUGAAACUCAAAGGAAUUGACGGGGGCCCGCACAAGCGGUGGAGCAUGUGGUUUAAUUCGAAGCAACGCGAAGAACCUUACCAGGUCUUGACAUCCCGAUGCUAUUUCUAGAGAUAGAAAGUUACUUCGGUACAUCGGUGACAGGUGGUGCAUGGUUGUCGUCAGCUCGUGUCGUGAGAUGUUGGGUUAAGUCCCGCAACGAGCGCAACCCCUAUUGUUAGUUGCCAUCAUUCAGUUGGGCACUCUAGCGAGACUGCCGGUAAUAAACCGGAGGAAGGUGGGGAUGACGUCAAAUCAUCAUGCCCCUUAUGACCUGGGCUACACACGUGCUACAAUGGUUGGUACAACGAGUUGCGAGUCGGUGACGGCAAGCUAAUCUCUUAAAGCCAAUCUCAGUUCGGAUUGUAGGCUGCAACUCGCCUACAUGAAGUCGGAAUCGCUAGUAAUCGCGGAUCAGCACGCCGCGGUGAAUACGUUCCCGGGCCU
rnacentral:rRNA from 1 species